UACGUAGGGUGCAAGCGUUGCCCGGAUUUAUUGGGCGUAAAGAGCGUGUAGGCGGCCAGGCAGGUCCGUUGUGAAAACUCGAGGCUCAACCUCGAGACGUCGAUGGAAACCGUCGGGCUAGAGUCCGGAAGAGGAGAGUGGAAUUCCUGGUGUAACGGUGAAAUGUGCAGAUAUCAGGAAGAACACCCGUGGCGAAAGCGGCUCUCUGGGACGGUACUGACGCUGAGACGCGAAAGCGUGGGGAGCAAACAGG
rnacentral:rRNA from 1 species